ACACAUGCAAGUCGAGGGGCAGCAUUUUAGUUUGCUUGCAAACUGAAGAUGGCGACCGGCGCACGGGUGAGUAACACGUAUCCAACCUGCCGAUAACUCCGGAAUAGCCUUUCGAAAGAAAGAUUAAUACCGGAUAGCAUACGAAUAUCGCAUGAUAUUUUUAUUAAAGAAUUUCGGUUAUCGAUGGGGAUGCGUUCCAUUAGUUUGUUGGCGGGGUAACGGCCCACCAAGACUACGAUGGAUAGGGGUUCUGAGAGGAAGGUCCCCCACAUUGGAACUGAGACACGGUCCAAACUCCUACGGGAGGCAGCAGUGAGGAAUAUUGGUCAAUGGGCGAGAGCCUGAACCAGCCAAGUAGCGUGAAGGAUGAAGGCUCUAUGGGUCGUAAACUUCUUUUAUAUGGGAAUAAAGUUUUCCACGUGUGGAAUUUUGUAUGUACCAUAUGAAUAAGGAUCGGCUAACUCCGUGCCAGCAGCCGCGGUAAUACGGAGGAUCCAAGCGUUAUCCGGAUUUAUUGGGUUUAAAGGGAGCGUAGGUGGAUUGUUAAGUCAGUUGUGAAAGUUUGCGGCUCAACCGUAAAAUUGCAGUUGAAACUGGCAGUCUUGAGUACAGUAGAGGUGGGCGGAAUUCGUGGUGUAGCGGUGAAAUGCUUAGAUAUCACGAAGAACUCCGAUUGCGAAGGCAGCUCACU
rnacentral:rRNA from 1 species